CGGCUAUUGUUUGGCUUUUUUUUUUUUUUUGUGUAUUUUUGUGGUUCCGAGCAGCUGACUUUGACCUUGCUGGAAAUUCCGUGUAGUACGGCUAAACAACUUGUUGUGUGUAUGUAUGCCCCAGCCUAGAUCAGGGCCUUACAGCUAGGCCAUGACUUUUGCAUCAAGUGUAUUUUAUAAGUCGAAUCAAAAUGCAACCCUUAAAGAAAUGUUGCUUCUGCGUAGAUUUGCGUUGCGGUUCUUUUGUCAUCUAUAUAUUUGAGUUUAUGUUAUCAUUUUACGCCAUUUGCCUGGGUCAAUGGUCCUCUGGAAAUAAGCUCUUGAUAGUGAGUCGCUUGGGCGGCAUGAUAUAUUUGAUUGGCAACGUUUUCUUGCUAAUGGGCGUUAUUUAUAAAUCGCCAAACUUUCUCUUGGUUUAUUUGAUAACAAGUGGCAUACAUCUAGUGACCAGCAUUAUGUAUUUUAUUACAAUGGCUGCAACAUGUGAAUUCUGC